rnacentral:rRNA from 1 species
GAUGAACGCUGGCGGCGUGCCUAAUACAUGCAAGUCGAGCGAACAGACGAGGAGCUUGCUCCUCUGACGUUAGCGGCGGACGGGUGAGUAACACGUGGAUAACCUACCUAUAAGACUGGGAUAACUUCGGGAAACCGGAGCUAAUACCGGAUCAUAUAUUGAACCGCAUGGAUCAAUAGUGAAAGACGGUUUUGCUGUCACUUUUAGAUGGAUCCGCGCCGCAUUAGCUAGUUGGUAAGGUAACGGCUUACCAAGGCAACGAUGCGUAGCCGACCUGAGAGGAUGAUCAGCCACACUGGAACUGAGACACGGUCCAGACUCCUACGGGAGGCAGCAGUAGGGAAUCUUCCGCAAUGGGCGAAAGCCUGACGGAGCAACGCCGCGUGAGUGAUGAAGGUCUUCGGAUCGUAAAACUCUGUUAUUAGGGAAGAACAAAUGUGUAAGUAACUAUGCACGUCUUGACGGUACCUAAUCAGAAAGCCACGGCUAACUACGUG